GGUAAGAUGGCUGAAAUUAUUAGGCGGUAGACUGUAAAUCUAUUUAUGAGAUUAUUCUCUCUUAUCA
rnacentral:tRNA from 1 species